rnacentral:tRNA from 1 species
GCAUUGGUGGUUCAGUGGUAGAAUUCUAGCUUGCCAUGUUGGAGGCCUUGGUUCAAUUCCCAGCCAAUGCA